ensembl:processed_transcript
CAUGCUCCAGUCCAGAUUCUGCACUCUGAAGUCCGGGUUGUAUUUACCCAAUAUGCAGGUUCAUUUUACACCUUUAUGGAGGAGGUCUGAAAAAAAGCAGAUUGGCUGGAAUGCUCAUAAACAUAAAUGCAAGCCCCACCCGACCAUCUGCCACAGGCCCGACAUUUCCUGCACUCCAGCUGCCAGCCCCGAGUUUAUUCUCUUCCUGGCUUUCUGCAGCUAACAGGAUGAAAGGAUCCCAUUCAUCCUUCGCCCCCUCUUUCCCCCCUUUCUUUAUUUCAUCUCCCGGAAAACAUGCAAGUUAGAGGCAAAAGACAAUGCCGCAUAAACACGCGUGCUGUUUUCGCGCCAAGUAUCCCGCGCGCAAAAAUGUAUUGUUUGGGUUUUAAAGAUUAAAUGGGCAACUAUGACUCAGGGAAAAUAGGGUUCACAUAAACAGAAGUUCACACGAGAGAAUAAAAUGACAAACAUAUAUAAAACUAACUGUUUUAUACUAUGUACUAUAAGACUUAUAGACUUUUUUAAACAAAGUUAGUGUGGAGGUAAUACAAGAUGGACCGUGUUUUCUUCACAUUAUGUUGAAAUUCUAGGUCAGUCCCACCCCCCUCACUGUUGGCAUUCAGAGUGAGUCCAUUCGCAAGACCUUUUAAGGAAAGAAAAGAUUCAGAAGGAAGAGAAAGUCGAGGACAGACAGAACUAAUAAUAUUACACGUUAAC